rnacentral:lncRNA from 1 species
UGAGAGAACAGCAGGAAAAGGGCAAGAGAAAGCCUCUGACUUGGCACACUACGAGGAUAACAAGGAUAUUGCAAAAAACACCCCUGGGUUUUGGUGCAAAAAGGUUUUAUGAAAAAUUUUCCCAUAAGAAAAAGUAGAAACUGCAUUGAGCUGAGAAAGUGACACUACAUUAUCACCCAAUUUUUGGCCCAACAGGCACACCACCAAAAGGGCAGUGUGUGGUUUUAAACCUCAAUUCCAGUAAAAAAAGCUUGUACUAUGUACACAUUGACAUAAAGAUCCAGUUUAAUUUGCAUUUUUCAGUGCAGACUGAGAAGCCCUCUCUUGAACAGGAGUAACAGUGAGAAAUGCCCAGUGGUCGUCGGCUUCCCCAAAGGGCAUCAGAAGAAAUACAGGACCGUUUCCCUCCCUAAAAAACAUGCAAGAGGAAACAGGCCAAAAUGGCUAACCAAUCAGAAAUAUGCUUCAGUUUUGUUGCCUCCACCCCCAAAUAUUAAGGAACAGACAAUUUCUGAUCUAUGUCACAGCAGAACUAUUUGCAUAUUGGAUCUAUGAAAAUCUUUCUGCUUUGGCUGAAGUAUAUUCUAAAACUUGUCUAUUCUAUAGCCUGAGAAUUGAAGAUAAAAUGGGAGAGGUGGAGUAAAGGAAGAAAGCUGAUAAUGAUUCAUGGGAUAUAAUGUUUGUUUAUAGGAUUUAAUGAAGGCUGGAGGCCUUUUUGCUUAAGGAACCAACACAGGUAGUAUGGGGAGCAGUAUGGAAAUGGCUCAUGUUGCCCCCUGCCACCCAUGCCUCCCCAAACAUAUUUCUGAUUGGUGGUGUAAGACAAUUGUAAACUCUUGAGAAAUAUUGUUGCAGUUCCACAAAUCAAUGGUUUCAAUGACUCUGGAAAAGUCUUUAAGGACAAUGGAUGUGAUUACAAAUAUAAAAGUCUAGAAGGUGCCAGGUUUCUACCUAGGAACAAUCUGUUCCUUCCUUUCAGGCAUCAUUUUGUAAUGGUGAAGAGGGAAAAGAUGGCGAGAGACCAAGAAGUGAUGAAAAAGGGCCUCAACAGUCAGCAGAAAACAGGACCCACAGCAGUUCUUCAGAGAGCCUGAGGGGGCGCCCUGGGGCACACAGGGAAGGCUUGCAUAGAUUGAGCGGUUGCUGAGAAUGCAUAAUAGUGUUUCCCUAUGGACAGUCUCACAGCACAGGGCUGAUUGAGCGGAAAAACGCGGCCAGGCCAGGGCCACAUGGGACAACGACCAUCAAGCUACACAUAUUGCACCAAGAAUAGUUCCUUAAAAUGGAUGCUCCUGGGAUGUGAAUAAAGAAAAUACGUCUGAAAGGUGAGGAUUUCAAACAGUAGAUUUCUUCAUCCUUCAAAUUUCUGACCCAUGAUGGCAGGCAUUGUACCUCAUGCCUCCUGCUCACCCACUUUUCCCAGAGGUGAGCACACAUGGGCCCUUCACUUGGAGAAGCUGCUGGUGAGGCCCAUCUCCUCCUCCCCCUGCAGUAGUGCUUCAAUGGGAAUCAGAUUGGACGGGGUGUCCAGGCUCUGGAGGGAUAGAAACUCUGACACAUCCAUGGCACUUAAUGUUUCUGUCUGAGGGUCUGAAGGAGUCUCUGCUUGUCGGCUUUGCUCACAGGAGGAGGGCAUGGUAGAGGAUGAUGACCCGGGAACAGGGGCUGAAGAAAAAGUCUGCGCUGGGAGCUGCAGGCUGGGCCCAUCAGGAGCCUGGGGGCUCGGCUCUGGAGGGGGUGGGGAGGAGCAGCCCUUUCUCCUGCUGGAUGCCCGCUCCUUUGCAGAGUCCCGGCAUGCACACUGACACUGACAUGCCUCUUCUUGUUUGAUGAUGAUCACAGGAACACUGAGGCCAAUCUGCUGGACAGAGCUCCCUGCGAGAGAGGCAAGAGAGACUGCUCUUCAAGUAGCUGCAGGGGCAGGAGCAUGAGGGACAGGGAUACAUGGACUAGGUGAGAGCAGAGUGCCAUGGGAACCAUGGGAAGGAUGGUUGCCACACUUCGGGCUUCGUUCUGCUUUAAAUUGGACCACAUGCCCUCUGAGGUAAAAGAGGGACACUCCCCAGCCCGAGACAAAGUCCCGUUUCCUUAGAAAGUCACACACACGAUCUAGAUGCACCCUGUAUUUCCAGCUUCAUUUCCAGUCAUUCUCCAUUGCACCCUCCCUGUGGAGGCCUACUUUUCCUGACACGUUCUUUAUACCCCUGGGCCUGUGGGCUCUUCCUUACGACUAAAAUCCCUGGACACCUCUCUUCUGGAGAACCGACACUCAUCUUUCAAGACAUAGCUCACUCCCCCACUCUCUGUAGGCCUAUGCAGAGGACUAGCUUGGAUGAAGCCGGUACCCAGCCUCCCGGCACACAUGCACAGUGCUGCUGUUUUCCUUCCACACCUCUCUCCUUGCGGUACAGGACCUGCUUGGUUC